rnacentral:lncRNA from 1 species
UUUAUUCUUUCCACAGGAAAGGUUUGUUUAAGCAUCUCCAGUUGAACCAUCUGCAACUUUGUUGAAGAAAUGUCGGUGAACAAGUAGCUGUUGUGCUCUGAUCAGACAAGUAUAAAUAAGUUCAAAGUUGUAUGUUAUGUAUCAAUAAUUUAAAUAAUGAAAAUUUAUAUCAUAUGUUGUGAAGUUAAUUAAUAACUAGUAAGUAGUGAUAAUAAGUUAGUUAUUUGUGAUCAAUGAUCAAGAGAAGUUGAUUUUUUAUAACUCUAUAUAGUUCAUUACCUUGCAAUCCUCAGG